rnacentral:rRNA from 2 species
UGGGGGAUAUUGCACAAUGGGCGAAAGCCUGAUGCAGCGACGCCGCGUGGGGGAUGAAGGCUUUCGGGUUGUAAACCUCUUUCGCUAUCGAACAAGGCCCGCUUAGGGUGGGUUGAGGGUAGGUGGAGAAGAAGCGCCGGCUAACUACGUGCCAGCAGCCGCGGUAAUACGUAGGGCGCGAGCGUUGUCCGGAAUUAUUGGGCGUAAAGGGCUUGUAGGUGGCUGGUUGCGUCUGUCGUGAAAGCUCAUGGCUUAACUGUGGGUUUGCGGUGGGUACGGGCUGGCUUGAGUGCAGUAGGGGAGGCUGGAAUUCCUGGUGUAGCGGUGGAAUGCGCAGAUAUCAGGAGGAAUACCGGUGGCGAAGGCGGGUCUCUGGGCUGUUACUGACACUGAGGAGCGAAAGCAUGGGGAGCGAACAGG